rnacentral:rRNA from 1 species
AUUGAACGCUGGCGGCAGGCCUAACACAUGCAAGUCGAGCGAGCGGCGGACGGGUGAGUAAUGUCUGGGAAACUGCCUGAUGGAGGGGGAUAACGACUGGAAACGGGAGCUAAUACCGCAUACAAUCGGAUGUGCCCAGAUGGGAUUAGCUAGUAGGUGGGGUAAAGGCUCUCCUAUGCGACGAUCCCUAGCUGGGCUGAGAGGAUGACCAGCCACACUGGACCUGAGACACGGCCCAGACUCCGCCGGGAGGCAGCAGUGGGGAAUAUUGCACAAUUGUCGCAAUCCUGAUGCAGCCAUGCCGCGUUUAUGUAGAAGGCGUGCAGGUUGUAAAGUACUUGCAGCGGGGAGGCGUUGCCCGCAGAAGAAGCACCGGCUAACUCCGUGCCAGCAGCCGCGGUAAUAG